rnacentral:rRNA from 1 species
CGGCGGACGGGUGAGUAAUGCCUAGGAAUCUGCCUGGUAGUGGGGGACAACGUUUCGAAAGGAACGCUAAUACCGCAUACGUCCUACGGGAGAAAGCAGGGGACCUUCGGGCCUUGCGCUAUCAGAUGAGCCUAGGUCGGAUUAGCUAGUUGGUGAGGUAAUGGCUCACCAAGGCGACGAUCCGUAACUGGUCUGAGAGGAUGAUCAGUCACACUGGAACUGAGACACAGUCCAGACUCCUACGGGAGGCAGCAGGG